rnacentral:rRNA from 1 species
UACGUAGGAUCCGAGCGUUGUCCGGAUUUACUGGGUGUAAAGGGUGCGCAGGCGGACUGUUAAGUCAGAGGUGAAAUCUCGUCGCUCAACGACGAAACUGCCUUUGAUACUAUCAGUCUUGAAUCCGGUAGAGAUCUGUGGAAUUCCGAGUGUAGCAGUGAAAUGUGUAGAUAUUCGGAAGAACACCAGUGGCGAAGGCAGCAGAUUGGGCCGGUAUUGACGCUCAGGCACGAAAGCAUGGGGAUCAAACAGG